rnacentral:rRNA from 1 species
AUGCGCCUUGCCAGCCCGCUCAGAAACUUAAAGGAAGUUGACGGGGGCCCGCACAAGCGGUGGAGCAUGUGGUUUAAUUCGAUGAUACGCGAGGAACCUUACCUGGGCUCAAAAUGUAUGUUUGACGUAUUCUGAAAGGGAUACUUCUUCGGACAAUAUACAAGGUGCUGCAUGGUUGUCGUCAGCUCGUGCCGUGAGGUGUCGGGUUAAGUCCCAUAACGAGCGCAACCCCUAUCAUUAGUUGCCAUCAGGUCAAGCUGGGGACUCUAAUGAAACUGCCUACGCAAGUAGUGAGGAAGGUGGGGAUGACGUCAAAUCAGCACGGCCCUUACGUCCAGGGCUACACACGUGUUACAAUGGCCGGUACAGAGGGCAGCCACCCCGCGAGGGGGCGCGAAUCCCGAAAGCCGGUCCCAGUUCGGAUCGGAGUCUGCAACCCGACUCCGUGAAGCUGGAUUCGCUAGUAAUCGCGCAUCAGCCACGGCGCGGUGAAUACGUUCCCGGGCCUU